UCCUUCCUGACGGACCUUCAUAGCCUGUAAGCCAAAGAAAUCCUUUCCUUCUUGAGUCGCUUUGGACUGUGGUGCUUAUCACAGCAACAGAGGCCAAACGAGGACAGUCAUCAUCCAAGAAAAAAAUACAGGUAGCACAUCGUGGAAGGAGGAAGACAGACAGAGACCUGUAGACCACUAUGCCGUCCACAGACAUGCUCUCCAGUGCACGGCACAGGACAGACAGACAUACCUGCUUACCAACACACCACACAGCAUAGAUGGAAGACGUCAUCCCCAGGGGUCUGCCAGCCAUGUGGCCAGCCUACAGCUGGAGCCACCACAAUGUGUCCAGAUUCACGGCUCUGAGAUGGCCCACCCCAAAAUCUAUAUCACUGAAGAAUGGUUGGGACACAUGAAAGGUCCAGUCCUGCUGUUCCAAAGCUGCAGGAUCUCCAUGACACAGGGCAACAACAGGCUAAUUGGAAGGAGUCCUGGUGAGGAUUCAACAUUGAUGGUUCAUGUCUCAAAUGUGAAGCACUGAUCUGUAAGGCUGUAGAACUCUCAGAGGUAGAGCCUUGCUUAUAGAGUUUUACAGAAUGAACUGUGCCCUCCAGAAAUCCCUCCUAUACUUCAGAACAGAACUGCACCAGUUGGGGGUCUCCAAAAGUGGAAUUAAUGAGCUGGAGAGAUGGUUCAGCCCUUAAGAGGACCAACCCAGGUUCAAUUCUCAGCACCCACUUGGUGGCUCUCAACCUUCUGUAACACCUGUUCCUGGGGGAUCUGAUG
rnacentral:lncRNA from 1 species